UUGAAGGGGGCUGCUCCUAGUACGAGAGGACCGGAGUGGACGAACCUCUGGUGUACCGGUUGUCACGCCAGUGGCAUCGCCGGGUAGCUAUGUUCGGAAGAGAUAACCGCUGAAAGCAUCUAAGCGGGAAACUCGCCUUAAGAUGAGAUAUCCCUGGGGACUAGAUCCCCUUGAAGGGUCGUUCGAGACCAGGACGUUGAUAGGUCAGGUGUGUAAGCGCAGUAAUGCGUUCAGCUAACUGAUACUAAUUGCCCGUAAGGCUUGAUCCUAUAACA
rnacentral:rRNA from 1 species